rnacentral:lncRNA from 1 species
ACCUAUUGAGAUGAUCAUGUGGUUUUUGUCUUUUCUUUGUUGCUGUGAUGUAUUACAUUGAUUGAUUUGAGUAUUGAAGCAUUCUUGUAACCCUGGGGAUUAAUCCAGCUUGAUCAUGGUGCAUGAUAUUUUUUAAUGUAUUGUUGGAUUCAGUUUGCUAAUAUUUUAUUGAAAAUAUUUGCAUCUAUAUUCAUCAAAGAUGUUGGCCUGUAAUUUUCUUUUUAGGCAGUGUCUUUGUUUAGUUUUGGUAUCAGGGUGACUUCAUAGAAUGUCUUCAUGAAUGUUCCUUCCUCUUUAAUCUUUUGUAAGAGUUUAAGAAGAAUCAAUAUAAUUGCUUCUUUGUUUGUUUGGUAGAAUUCCUCAGUAGAGCCAUCUGGUCUUGGAAUUUUGUUUGUAGGGAGUUUUGUUUUGUUUUUAAUCACAGAUUUUAUUUCACUUCUAGUGAUUUGUCCAUUAAAAAUAUCUAUUUCUUCUUGAUUCAAUUUUGGCAGACUGUUUGUUUCUAGAGAUUUGUCUAUUUCUUCUAGGUUGUCAAAUUUGCUGACAUACAAUUGUUCAUAGUAUUCUCUCUCUCUCUUUUCUAAAUUUCUGUGGUAUUGGUUGUUAUUUCUCCUCUUUCAUUUCUUAUUUUGUUUAUUUGGGUCCUCUUUUCUUUUUGUUGACCCUGGUCAGAGGUUUGUGGAUUCUGUUUUCCCUUUCAAAGAACUAGUUCUUGAUUUUAUUGAUUUUCUUCCAUUGUUUUUUAAUCUCUAUUUUAUUUCCUCUCUGAUUUUUAUUUUUAUUAUUUCCUUCCUUCUGAUUUUAGGCUUUGUUCUUCUUUUUAAAAUUCUUUCAGGUGUAGGUUAGGUUGCUUAUUUGAGAUUUUUCCCAUUUUUUCAUUUUGUUUUUGUUUUGAGAACUUCCUGCUAAGAACUGUUUUUGCUGCAUCCCAUGGAUUUUGCUUGAUUGGGUUUUCAUUGUCAUUUGUCUCAAGGUAUUUUUUUUUAAUUUCCUCUUUGAUUUCAUUGUUGACCCAUUGGUUUUUUAGUAGCAUGUUGUUAAUCUCCAUGUAAUAAUUUUUUCUUGCUGCUCUUUCUCUGGUUGAUUUCUAGUUUCAUGCUGUUCUGGUCAGAAAAAAUGCUUGAAAUAAUGACCCCCCCUUUUUUUUUUGCUUUUUAGGGCCACACUCAAAGAACAUGGAGGUUCCCAUACUAGGGGUCAAAUCAGAGCUGAAGCGGCCAGCCUGUGUUUCAGCCACAGGAACACCAGAUCUGAGCUGCAUCUGUGACCUACACCACAGCUCACGGCAACGCUGGAUCCUUAACCCACUGAGCAAGGCCUGCAUCCUCAUGUUGGCUAGUCAGGUUCUUAACCCGCUGAGCCAUAAUGGGAGCUCCUGAAAUGAUUUCUAUACUCCUAAAUUUGCUGAGGAUAGUUUUGCGUCCUCGUAUGUGGUCAGUCCUAGAGAAUGUCUCACAUGCAUUUGAAAAGAAUGUAUAUUCUGGGUUUUUUGGGAUGUAAUGUCCUGAAAAUAUCAAUUAAGUCUAACUGUUAUGUCAUUUAGGAUUUCUGUUGCCUUAUUGAUUUUCUGUUUAGAAUAUCUGUCCAUUGAUGUGAGUGGGGUGUUAAAGUCUCCCACUACCCUUCUACUCAUGUCAAUUUCUCCCCUUAUGUCAGUUAGUAUUUGUUUCAUGUAUUUGGGUGCUCCUAUAUUAGGUGCAUAUAUGUUAUCUAGUAUAAUAUCCUUUUCCUGUAUUAAUCCUUUUACCAUUAUAUGGUGUUUAUCUUUCUUUAUGGCCUGUGUUUUAAAGUCUAGUUUAUCUGAUAUGAGUAUUGCUACCUCCACUUUCUUGUAAUUUCUGUUUUAAUGAUCUGUAUACUUGCUUACUUAAGUGAUUAUGUUUCAGUUUUGAUUUUCUCCUUCCUAUUUCUUCUUGCUUCUUUUCUCUUUAGAGGAGACCUUUCAAUAUUUCUUUUAGGAUAGGUUUAGAAUUGCUGUAUUCUUUUAGUUUUUGCUUGUCUGAGAAAAUCUUUAUUUCUCCUCCUAUUCCAAAUGAUAAUCUUGCUGGGUAAGGUAUUCUAGGUUGCAGAACUUUCUCUUUUAGAACUUUGAAAAUAUCUUACCACUCCUUUAUGGCCUGUAGCAUUUCUAUAGACAAAUCAGCUUAUAGUCUUAUGGGGUUCCCUUGCAAUUAACUCUUUGUUUUCUCUUGCUACAAAGGGCUGUUUUUAGUAUGGAUGCCUGUUUCAUCUUUCCUCCAUAUGUGCCAAUCAGUAUCUCCUUGAUAGGGGGUUGAUUGUUGUUCUGGCCAUAUUCUGCAUUGGAUGUUGAGUGGGGCUUCCUCUUUGUGCUGCAGUUAUUGCAGCCAUGUUGUGCGCAGGGUCUGCUCCCCAGUUGUUGGAGUAGACUCCCAGAUCUGCUUCUGAACUGUGGUGCAAAGUAGGUGGAAUGGGAGUGCUCCUGCUGGGAGAGGAGACACUGAAUAUUCCUCCACAGAAGCUGUCCACUAGGAGUUUACUCUGUGUUAUUGCCUGUCACCCAUUGUAUGGGCUCACAAAGUUCAUUGAUUUGACUUGUCCUCAGCUCUACCUCAACUUUGGAAACUCAGACAAUUGGCCCUGGUAUCUGUCAGGUGCUUUGCUCACAAAGCCACUAGCACAGAUCUUUCAGUGCAAAACUGCUGACGUCAGGCCCUGGGACUGCUGCAGUCACAUAUAUGUAUGGGCCGUGGGAGCUACUGAGUCACCCUAGACCCCAGUCCUACCGCCACACAUGCACCCACAGAGCCAACAGCUGCUGCUGAUGGAUCCACCCUAGCCAUAGUAGCACCUGUAAUCCACUCAUAUGUCUCACAGGGACUGAGUUUACAAAGCUGCCAGCAGUGUUAAAAAUAUGUGAAUCUCACUGCUGCUGGGAGGUGAAUUAGAAUUCAGUCCUGCUUCUGAAGCCACACGGCCCUUGGGGAUCAGCUUGGUUUUCAGCCCCACCUCCAGGUGUGGGCAGCUCACCAACUUUUGCAAAUAUCAGAAGUCACAGAAGCAGAGCCAUGUGAGCAUGUCAAGAAUGAGGCUGUUGUGGUGGGCUCUGCACCUCUCUUCAACUGUGCAUGUUAACAAUGAGCCUCAAUGGCAGACACAGCACCCUUCCUGUACACACCUUUGGCUGCAGCUUGCACCACACUCCAGCCCCUUCAAGCUGUCUUCAAGCAGCCAACUUGAGUCCUCUCCAUGGGUCUGUCUGCUGAAGCCAGAGCUUCAGCAUCUGGCACCUCCCACCCCUGCAACACAUACUGUAGCAGAUGUACAUCUCCAGCUAAGAAGUGCAGGGAUGUGGCACAGACCCUCUGUGCUGGUCUCUCACUGGUGUGCUUGCUGCAAGUUGGCUGCCACAUUCUUCUCUUAGCCUCUGAAGCUCCCUUUCUGACCUGUCUAGUCUCCUUGCCAAUGCAGGGGCUUCCUAGGGUGAGAAAACCUUUCCAUUUUUCAUAUCUCCCUCCCAGGGAUACAGGUCUGAUUCCCCCCCCCUUUCAUUUUUCCUGGUUACAUGGUGAUCUUUCUUGCAAUUUUGGUUUUAUGAGAUCUGCCAGAAUUCAGUAGGUAUUCUGUGAGAAUUGUUCCACAUGUAGAUGUAUUUUUGAUGAUGUGUGAUGCCUCUAAGAAUAUAAAAAUGGGGAAAAAUGACAGUCUCUUCAGCCAGUAGUGUUGGGAAAGAUGACAGCCACAUGUAAAUCAGUGAGGUCAGAACACACCCUCACAGCAAAAGAAGUCAUAAACAAAACAAAAGGACAACCUAUGGAGUAGGAGAAAAUAUUUGCAAAUGAUAUAACUGACAAAGGUUUAAU